GCCAGCCCGCUCAGAAACUUAAGGAAUUGACGGGGGCCCGCACAAGCGGUGGAGCAUGUGGUUUAAUUCGAUGAUACGCGAGGAACCUUACCUGGGCUCAAAUGUAUGUUGACGUAUUCUGAAAGGGAUACUUCUUCGGACAAUAUACAAGGUGCUGCAUGGUUGUCGUCAGCUCGUGCCGUGAGGUGUCGGGUUAAGUCCCAUAACGAGCGCAACCCCUAUCAUUAGUUGCCAUCAGGUCAAGCUGGGGACUCUAAUGAAACUGCCUACGCAAGUAGUGAGGAAGGUGGGGAUGACGUCAAAUCAGCACGGCCCUUACGUCCAGGGCUACACACGUGCUACAAUGGCCGGUACAAAGGGCAGCUACCUGGUGACAGGAUGCUAAUCUCAAAAGCCGGUCUCAGUUCGGAUCGGAGUCUGCAACCCGACUCCGUGAAGUUGGAAUCGCUAGUAAUCGCGCAUCAGCAUGGCGCGGUGAAUACGUUCCCGGGCCUU
rnacentral:rRNA from 1 species